AAGUCCACGCUGGGACGCCCGGGAGGAGUUCAGGGUUCAAGUGCGCGCCUGGGUCUGUGCACAUCUUCCCCUUCCUCGGCCUCCCUGGAGGGAAGACCGUAGAAGCUUUAUCAUAGGGCCUAGUGUCAUGAUCAUAUAUUUACUCCAUAAAUACCUGUGAGGGAAGAAAGCUAAUGGAACUUGAGAGCAGGUGAAAUGGAAGGCUAUGUGCAAGUUCUAAGGGAAUAAAGUUUGUUUUCUAAUGUUGCCUCUUUAUGUAGAUUGUUUUUUCAUAACUUGAUUAAAAGUCUCCGUCCUUUUCA